GCUAGCACUAGUUGCUCAAGCUGCUAAAGUGACUACGAUGUAAACAAACAUCUCCCACUUGGCACAAUGAGAAUGUGUCGUCACAUGAUGCAGCCUUUGAAUCCCUUCCCAAAUGGCAGUUGCCUACUGGAAAAGAUCUACUUACUGAGGUACUGUAGGUGCCUUUGGAGGCAGGUAGGCGGAGAGGCAGCUGCCUUUUGGAUUGGGACACAGCCACUAUCACCAUGGAUGCUGCUGGUGGUUAUAGCAACCUGGCUCAGCUUACCUCCCCAAGGGCAGUGAUGACAUCUUCAUCGCCACGGAGGGAUGUGGACCAGAGAGCUUGGGGCAGAGUGGCGCUGCCCACCAUGAUAUUACAUAGACAUUCAUUCUGUUUAUCUGCUACAUGCAAAUGUAGUUUAGGAAAGUUCAAUCAGGAAGGCUGGUCUGAAUGCUUGUUGAACUUCAUCAAGCAGCAUAACAAUUCGUCAUUGUUUCUGUUUCAUGUGGGAAUGACGUUGCGUGCGGGAGUCGCUACAGGCUCCCCUGCCUCAGCCGGCUCAUCGGGCUUUCAUGCCUUCACCGGAUCAACAGGCAACCCUGCCUUAGACGGUCUGUCAGGUUCCCGCGUCCCAGCAGGCGACAGGUUCCCACGCAUUAGCAGGGGUUUCCGGUCCGCUCAUGAUCCCGGGGAUCGUCCCUUCGGUUGCCGUCCUCACUCCCUGAACUUGCUUCCCGACUCUCAGCUCACAUCGUUACACCUUUAGCCUUUAAGCACGGCACGAUAAUGCAGUUUCCACAUGCUGCUGUUUAACCUAUGGGCUCGCUCUUGCAAUGAUCACUUUCCUCUCUCUCAACCAAUGGGUGUAAACGUUGGGAUAUAUUCAUAUGUCAACAUACCCAUGUUCACUUGCUGUUUUUCAGCAACAGUUUUCAAUAACCAUCCACCUCCCCACCAACACCAGCUAGCUAUACUACCCUUAAGGCCUGUCAUUGGAACUUAUUCUCUAGGCCAAACCGUUCAGACGCUACAGUCGUUUUCGUGAGAUGACAGUUACGGAAGUCCUCCAUUGGCGGAUGCAGUGGACUGAGACGGAGUCUAUGCAAAAAACAGAUGUCUCCAGCUUUAACAGAUGGAUUUUGAUGGGGAGACAAGGCCAUACCCCAAACUAUUUAAUAACGUUCCAUAUUUCAUUCUGUCUCUGUUCAUUCAGUUAAGCAUGUACUGAAAUAAACUGCAUUUUAAUGACCCACCCAACAACUUGUAUUGGAUAACCCAUAAAUCAAGUGAAUAAAUGUUAUUUGUUGUCCUCAAUUCAAAUGAUUUGACUGCAUCUGUUUACACACAGACAGAAACAUAAUAAUACAAGGAAUAUCAGUAAUACAUGGUUGAUGAUGGUAUAUUGCCCUCACAGGCCAAACAAAGACCAAUGUGUGAUGUCUCAUGACACAAGCAAACCUUAGCAUCUCCAUUAUUACAGAUGUGUGUGCGUGCAGGAACCGCUGAAACAGAGACGAUCUGGAGGAAGGGAGAAGAGAAGUCUGAGGUUCCCUUUCGAUAAAAGGAAGGGAUAUGUCGUUAUGAUGACACGUCUUGCAAGUCAAUGGACAAGCAGAUUUGAACUUCAAUAUUUAUUGUGAAACUAGAAUGUCAAAUUAUGGUGUUGCUGAUUGUCAUGAACUUUUGUUCUGUGAAUUCAGAGGGUUUGGUUCCAUCCCCUACCAUAACCAGAACUGUUUUCCACAUCUCACAAAAUAUGCUGCAGUCUGCCAAUGGCAACCUGAUAGAAUUCCACUCAGUGCCUUCUGUAACUAGAUGCAAUCUUUUAUCUCACCAGUUCUAGGGUUCUUAUCUGGGGGUUCUUAUCCCAAGACUGAGUGGAGCUCCUUGUGGCGUUAGUGGAAGAACAAAGUUGAGGCCAGUCAAGGACAUCACCACAGCCGUUCACAGGAAUGAUAAUGAUCCCAAAGGAGACCGUAACGUACUGUAAACACUGCCAAGCCUUGUGGUAACGUCCCUUCAACCAACACCACAAGAAAAGGUUGCGUAACACGCACAACCCCAAAGGACCUCUGGACACACUGGACAGUGGACACUGACCUGUCCAUGCAGGCUUGCCCGGAUACACACAGGUGCGAAAGCACACACACGCAUACAAGCUCAUACUGUAAAUGGGCACACAUACACACUCAUGCCUGGUUGCCCUUGAAGUGAAGACCUGUGGCUCACUCAUAUAACCUCUUAGAUAUUAAGUCCCCUAUUCCGACUGAUAUUUGUGACUGACCGGCUCAAAUCGGUCUUAUGUAGCAAAAUUUGAAAUUGGGUUAUUUACAUUGGUAAAAAGUAGAGACUCAGAGAUACAAAAUGUUAUAUCAUACACUGCAUUUUUGAGGAGCAAUGGGAAAGUAAUCCUGCCAAGAAAGUUGAUAAACUUGUAAACUCACUUUUGAGAAAAGGGCCUUUGAAUGUUUUGGUACCUACUGGAGAGCUCUCCUUUGUCUACAUCCAUUCAGCAUUGUUCACACCCUCUUAAGCCAGUCCCACCCAAGUAUUUAAGGAUUCACAUGUGCUAAACAGGGAGUAGUUGUCACGUUCUGACCUUAGUUCUUUUGUUAUGUCUUUGUUUCAGUAUGGUCAGGGCGUGAGUUGGGUGGGAUGUCUAUGUUGUGUUUUGUGUUUGGCCUGGUAUGGUUCUCAAUCAGAGGCAGGUGUCGUUAGUGGUCUCUGAUUGAGAAUCAUACUUAGGUAGCCUUUUCCCACCUGUGUGGGGUGGGUGAUUGUUUUCUGUCUUGUUGUGUCACCAUUCAGGACUGUUUCGGUUUUCGUUUUCAUUCUCUUUGUUAUUUUUGUAUUGAGUCG
rnacentral:lncRNA from 1 species